UCUUCUCUUUGCAUUCAAGGACUGCAAUACUGUUGAUCCUACUCAUUCCUCUUGGUAUCUUGAGCAUCUGGAUUUCCUCUGACCCAUUAAAUUGACCAGCAGACAACAGAGGCACAUGAGAGACAGCUCCUGUGAGAGUGAGACUUUUCCCAGCUGCCCUAGGAAGGUUUUAUCUGCCCCUCCUUCUUGAUUAUCAGCCUGAUAUUUACCUGGAGCACUGAAUAACUGCUUUUGCUCAACAGUAGGGUUGAGAAAUGCAUCCCCUGGGCCCCCCAUCUUUCACCCUUCCAACAGGGUGUCCUGCUCUUUGGUACAGCACACACAGGCCUUGUGUGCUUAUUUAAUUCUGAGUUUGAAGAGCCAGAUGCAAAGAGAAGUGGAGGGAGUACUUUGAAGAAUAAGAACAGGAUCUCUUAUGGCAGCUUUCUUGCAUGGUACUAUUUGCUGCUGCAGAAAUGAGAAAGUAUUCCUCCUGGCAGAAGAAGCAUGGCAUAUGGCAUCAGGAAUUUGAAACAUCUCUGCAAGACCAGAGGCAGGAAUACAAGUGUAUCCCACAGAUGUGCCCUGACCACUUGAGCCUACUCAUCUGCUGACAUCUGUUGAAUGUGGCCCUGAGCUCACAGACCCUCUUCUUGAGAUUUGUAACAAAGGUGGUUAAAAUUUAAAAAUAAAAAAAUCCCAAACAAUCCUAAACAAGUAAUGCACCUCUCUCUUCUUUUUUUUUUCUUUUUCUCAGAUAAGAUUUGUUCAGGACCAA